CUCAUCCCCCCGGGGGAUCACGGGGCUCUGCUGCCCGCCAGGUCUGUACGCAGGCAGACGGGAAGGAAAAGGAUGUGCUGAGCCUCCAGGGCGAGCAGGGCCUUUGAUAAACAGCCACGUUCUUCAGGCCAGAGAGUGGCCUGGGAAUUCUUUGCUGUGCAAUGUGUCAUCAGCAGGGGGUGAGCGGCAAACAGCUGGCCACCCAAUGCAGCAACAUGGCUGGAACAGAGCUGGUGCCGUGCACUGUCCGCGGGUGGCGCCCAGCUGCGCUGCUGUGGACAAGGUCCCCUGCAAGACUUCUCUUGCUGCCACGCUCCCUGGCCAGGGCUGCGGAGCUCAGGAGAAGAAAGGAAAGUUACCAAAUGUUUGUCCUGACGAGGGCUCCUGGGUGUGAUGGAGAGACCCCAGCAGACGCUGUCCGCAGCGUGUCUGCAGUGCCAGCGAGAGCUGCUGGUCUCUGGGCUUCCUGCAGGCUCCGUCUCGUCCCAUUCACAGGGACUUGCCCCAACCAGCUGGCCGCUUUCAGUUGACUCUGAACAUCCCACCACACUUGCUUUACUCCUGUUUUGGCCCAAGGACAUUUCGACAUGGACAGAAACCAUCAAGCUUUCAACUUUAUUAUCAAGUAACACAUGAACCAGACCUUCUGUACCCAUGCUUGCGCCUCACAGAUUCUCCCAGCAUGCAAAUCCCCCCACCGUCUAGGACGCAAGGUGCUUCAGGCUCAGGGGUGGCUAAAGGUCAGGAAAACCAGCUGUGCCAAUUUCUUGGUAAUAAAUAUCUAUUUUUACACA
rnacentral:lncRNA from 1 species